UAUCACAAUAGUGCUAGACAUU
rnacentral:miRNA from 1 species